rnacentral:rRNA from 1 species
UAGGGAAUCUUCCGCAAUGGGCGAAAGCUUGACGGAGCAACGCCGCGUGAGUGAUGAAGGUCUUCGGAUCGUAAAACUCUGUUAUUAGGGAAGAACAAAUGUGUAAGUAACUAUGCACGUCUUGACGGUACCUAAUCAGAAAGCCACGGCUAACUACGUGCCAGCAGCCGCGGUAAUACGUAGGUGGCAAGUGUUAUCCGGAAUUAUUGGGCGUAAAGCGCGCGUAGGCGGUUUUUUAAGUCUGAUGUGAAAGCCCACGGCUCAACCGUGGAGGGUCAUUGGAAACUGGAAAACUUGAGUGCAGAAGAGGAAAGUGGAAUUCCAUGUGUAGCGGUGAAAUGCGCAGAGAUAUGGAGGAACACCAGUGGCGAAGGCGACUUUCUGGUCUGUAACUGACGCUGAUGUGCGAAAGCGUGGGGAUCAAACAGG